GUGAAAUGUCCUCGGAAAAAUCGUGAUUUUUUUAAAUGACUCCUCCCACCGCCCCUGCCCCAAUCGGCCCAAGCCUGGCCCAGGUCAGAUGUGACCGAUGUUUGGAAGCUCAAGACAGGCCCGCAGGAGUCCACAGAGCGUCCACCCAUGUCUUGUGCCCGAGGAGCCCCCGGCCACCCAGUCCAGUGGCUUUGUCACAUCCGACCGAUCACAUGCAGGUCCAUAACCACUGGUGGAACACGCACCUAUCCAGGCACAGUCCCCGGCCACCUGGGAGAGA